rnacentral:tRNA from 1 species
UAACAAAUUAAUGAAAGCAAUGAAAAAAAUAAGUGCCCCCGGUAAUCCACUUUUUGUUUU